rnacentral:rRNA from 1 species
GAUGAACGCUAGCGGCAGGCUUAAUACAUGCAAGUCGAGGGGCAGCAUGACUGUAGCAAUACAGUUGAUGGCGACCGGCAAACGGGUGCGGAACACGUACAGAACCUUCCUUCGAGCGGGGAAUAGCCCAGAGAAAUUUGGAUUAAUACCCCAUAGUACAACGGAGUGGCAUCACUUUGUUGUUAAAGAUUUAUCACUUGAAGAUGGCUGUGCGGCUGAUUAGGUAGUUGGCGGGGUAACGGCCCACCAAGCCUGCGAUCAGUAACUGGUGUGAGAGCACGACCAGUCACACGGGCACUGAGACACGGGCCCGACUCCUACGGGAGGCAGCAGUAAGGAAUAUUGGUCAAUGGACGAAAGUCUGAACCAGCCAUGCCGCGUGGAGGAUGAAGGUCCUCUGGAUUGUAAACUUCUUUUAUAUGGGACGAAAAAAGGGUUUUCUAACUCGUCUGACGGUACCAUAUGAAUAAGCACCGGCUAACUCCGUGCCAGCCGCCGCCGUAAUAC